AAUUCUACCAGGUUGGGUAAGGAGGUUACACAUUUACUUCCUGUAAUGAAUGUCUUUAUCUCAAUAUUAUCGGCAUAUACUAAGAUUCCUAAGGGCUUAAUUCCUCAAAGGGAGGAUGCAAUAUCCUUGGGAGGACAACAGAGCGAAUGGAUCCAGAAAUGAGGGCGGUCACCUACAAGGGUACACUGAAGAAGCUGCUGGUGUUUUCCUUCGUGCAAAGAAAAUUGAGAGGAGUAUUGAUAGAGAUAUGCAAUAGUAGAGCAAAUUAACAUCCAUCAUCAAGGACACCCCCACCACACAGGACAUGCUUUCUUCUCACUGCUGCUAUCAGGAAGAAGGUACAGGAGCCUCAGGACUCACACCACCAGGUUCAGGAACAGCUACUACCCAUCAACCAUCAAGCUUUUGAACCUAAGAGGAUAACUUCACCCAACUUCACUUGCCCCAUCAUUGAAACGUUCCACAACCAAUGUAUUCACUUUCAAGGACUCUUCAUCUCAAGUUUUCAAUACUUACUGAUUAUUUAUUAUUAGUAUUUCUUUUUUUUUGUAUUUGCACAGUUUGUUGUCUUUUUCACACUGGUUGAAAGCCCAAGUUAAUGCAGUCUUUCAAUGACUCUAUUAUGGUUAUUAUUCUAUUAUGAAUUCAUUGAGUAUGCCUGUAGGAAAAUGAUUCUCAAAGGCUGUAUAUGGAGACAUAUAUGUACUUUGAUAAUAAAUUUACUUUCAGCUUUGGACCUUACCUCUAUCGGUGACCCUACCAGGAACUAAACGCCAGAUGGCAUCACUCUAGAGAUCUUAGGAACUCGCAAGCCUCUCCACACAACAAAAUGUCGUUGAGUAGGUGUGUCUGUGCUUCUGUGGUUUUGUGACUGUGUGUCUAUAUUUAUGUCCUUUACAUACAUCUCUGCAUCUGUAUACGUACCUGAGUCCGUGUGCCUGAAUGAAGAAAGAAAUAAGUUGAGUGAAUUGGAGCUGAAGUGUGGAACAAUCAGACUCAAAUAAGACUGCGACAAACUGAUAAUAAUAAGUAAUUUUGGAAUCCAAGUUAAUGUAUUUAAUGGGCCAGAAUGUAAUUAAAACCUGACAGGAUGAUUGAAGCAAAAGUAUGUAAAUGAGGAAUUUUAAUGGAUAAAUUAUCUUUUGUAAGAGCUUGUGGGGUUUGUGCUUAUGCAUUUUAAUUUCUAUUGAACUGACGGAGACUAAAUGAAUCAACAGGAAUAAUAGAACGUAGGAAGGAGAAGAAAAAUGAGUGGACUCACUGGGCAGAUAAUUUUGCCUUACCAGUGACUGAGUUUCAUAUUAAUUGGACAGAUUAAUAACUAUUUCUUAACUUAAUUUAAAACUAUUGUAAAGAUUUAAAAUUGUGCCUGGUUUUCAGUUUUAUUUCUGUGACAUGCUGGAAUCUGUUUUUCGUUUGCUGUUAACUUCCAUCUCAGUUUUCUGCAAUGAAUCAUGGGUUACGGCUCCAUCAAGGCCAAAACUAUUUCCGAAUAGAAAUGAAAGCUUACUUUGUUGUUGCCAUUAUCGACUCAUUCUUUUUUUUUAAACCAAGAUUUUAAUUAUUAUUCUCUUUGCUUGA